rnacentral:lncRNA from 1 species
AUGCCCUCCAAAUGGGCAUUGGGAGGCGUCCCUCUGUGCCUCCAUCGUCCGCGCCUCGCUCCAGCGGCAGAAGGGGCAGCCCUGGCCGCGGGCCCCGCCAUCUCCGUGUGCCCGGAGGCCGGCCCGCGCCCUUCUCCACUCGCCAAGCUGAGCGCAGAAAGCGAGUGUCGCCCGCCGCCCGCCUUCGCCACCGAGACUGGCUGCGGAGCGCGACGAGCCCUCGCCGCGGCCCCGGCCCCGAGGGGUCCCCGUGCGCCCGGCACGGCCCAGGACUGUUCCCAGCGCGCGCCGCGGACUCGGAGGACAGCGCGCUCGGGGGCCGGCACCCUCCAGCGUCCGCCCGGCCCCCAGCGCCCCGUGCCCCGGCCCGAGGGACCCGCCGCCCCAACAAAGUUGGCGCAGGCUCUCCGAGGAGCGCCCCCCACACGGCCCGGUGCCCGCUGGCGCGCAGGCGUGGAACGCGGGGACGGGCACCGGGCCGCCGUCGGGGUUCGCGGCCGCCCGGCUGCGCCCCGGCUUUGUUCGCGCCCUGCGCCCGCCAGCUGCGCCCGGCCCCACGGCGCCCGCCCAGCCCGCCGCCGCCCGCUUCCUCCAGCCCGGCCCACCUUCUGGAUGGUUUGCUGCGUGACCUUCCCUUUGCCUCUUGGCCGGGCGGACGCGAAGGCCACGGACAUGGUGGCUGCGCGGGACUCAGCCCGUGGUCAUCGGGGUGGAUACUCCGGCUGCGCUCGGCGGCCCGAGGCGCUCAUUAUCCGCAGUAGCGGCGGGGGGGCAGAGGGGGGGGGACGCGGGGGGCGCCGCGUCAUGGGCUCGUCCGCCUCGUCGCCGUCGCCGAGCCUCCGGGCCCGCGGCGCCGCCGCUCCGCCCUGCAGAAGGGUCUGCGGCCCAGUGCCGAACGGUGGCCCCCGGCGGCCCCCUCGCACCCAGCGCCCGGCCCUCCGCCGGAGCACCGCCUCCCAACCCCGGCCACCGGUGGUUCGGCCUGGCCCCGCCCCGGCGCGCGCCCGCACGUCCGCCCGGCGCCGCCUGACGCCACCCGACGCCGCCUGA